UACGGGGGGGGCAAGCGUUGUUCGGAAUUACUGGGCGUAAAGGGCUCGUAGGCGGCCAACUAAGUCAGACGUGAAAUCCCUCGGCUUAACCGGGGAACUGCGUCUGAUACUGGAUGGCUAGAGUGCGGUAGAGGGUAGUGGAAUUCCCGGUGUAGCAGUGAAAUGCGUAGAGAUCGGGAGGAACACCAGUGGCGAAGGCGGCUACCUGGACCAGCACUGACACUGAAGCACGAAAGCGUGGGGAGCAAACAGG
rnacentral:rRNA from 1 species